rnacentral:rRNA from 1 species
AUUGAACGCUGGCAGCAUGCCUUACACAUGCAAGUCGAACGGUAACAGGUCUUCGGAUGCUGACGAGUGGCGAACGGGUGAGUAAUACAUCGGAACGUGCCCGAUCGUGGGGGAUAACGAAGCGAAAGCUUUGCUAAUACCGCAUAAGAUCUACGGAUGAAAGCAGGGGACCGCAAGGCCUUGCGCGAACGGAGCGGCCGAUGGCAGAUUAGGUAGUUGGUGGGAUAAAAGCUUACCAAGCCGACGAUCUGUAGCUGGUCUGAGAGGACGACCAGCCACACUGGAACUGAGACACGGCCCAGACUCCUACGGGAGGCAGCAGUGGGGAAUUUUGGACAAUGGGCGAAAGCCUGAUCCAGCCAUGCCGCGUGCAGGAUGAAGGCCUUCGGGUUGUAAACUGCUUUUGUACGGAACGAAAAGACUCUGGUUAAUACCUGGGGUCCAUGACGGUACCGUAAGAAUAAGCACCGGCUAACUACGUG